rnacentral:rRNA from 1 species
AUUGAACGCUGGCGGCAUGCCUUACGCAUGCAAGUCGAACGGCAGCACGGGUGCUUGCACCUGGUGGCGAGUGGCGAACGGGUGAGUAAUAUAUCGGAACGUACCUUAUUGUGGGGGAUAACGCAGCGAAAGCUGUGCUAAUACCGCAUAAUCCCUAAGGGGGAAAGCGGGGGACCGUAAGGCCUCGCGCAAUUAGAGCGGCCGAUACCUGAUUAGCUAGUUGGUGAGGUAAAGGCUCACCAAGGCAACGAUCAGUAGCUGGUCUGAGAGGACGAUCAGCCACACUGGGACUGAGACACGGCCCAGACUCCUACGGGAGGCAGCAGUGGGGAAUUUUGGACAAUGGGGGCAACCCUGAUCCAGCAAUGCCGCGUGAGGGAAGAAGGCCUUCGAGUUGUAAAGCUCUUUUGUCAGGGAAGAAACAGCAGCUCUAACACAGUUUGCGAAUGACGGUACCUGAAGAAUAAGCACCGGCUAACUACGUGCAGCCGCCGCCGUAA